rnacentral:tRNA from 1 species
AGCCUUGUGGUGUAAUACAUAUCGGGUUGCAAAUCUGGAGAUGCAGUAUAAUAUUCUGCCGGGGCUU